rnacentral:rRNA from 1 species
GACGAACCGUGCGAACGUUGUUCGGAAUCACUGGGCUUAAAGGGCGCGUAGGCGGGCCAUCAAGUCAAGGGUGAAAUCCUGCGGCUCAACCGUAGAAGUGCCCCUGAUACUGAUGGCCUCGAGGGAGGUAGGGGCGUGCGGAACUUCCGGUGGAGCGGUGAAAUGCGUAGAUAUCGGAAGGAACACCGGUGGCGAAAGCGGCUCACUGGACCACAACUGACGCUGAGGCGCGAAAGCUAGGGGAGCAAACAGG